rnacentral:ncRNA from 1 species
CCCUUUUUUUUGUCCACACCGCCCGUUCAUUUUUCAGAUGGUCAUAGGGAUGAAGAGUUUGGCUUUGAAUAUCUAUGGCUAGAUAAAGUACAAUUGGAACAAGGUUUCAGUUGGAGAACCAGCUGAAGGAUCAUUU